GCUUUCGGGUCGUAAAACUCUGUUGUUAGGGAAGAACAAGCACUAGNUUAAUAAGCUGGCNCCUUGACGGUACCUACCCAGAAAGCCCCGGCUAACUACGUGCCAGCAGCCGCGGUAAUACGUAGGUGGCAAGCGUUAUCCGGAAUUAUUGGGCGUAAAGCGCGCGCAGGUGGUUUCUUAAGUCUGAUGUGAAAUCCCCCGGCUCAACCGUGGAGGGUCAUUCGAAACUGGGAGACUUGAGUGCAGAAGAGGAAAGUGGAAUUUCCAUGUGUAGCGGUGAAAUGCGUAGAUAUAUGAGAGGAACACCAGUGGCGAAGGCGACUUUCUGGUCUGUAUACUGACACUGAGGCGCGAAAGCGUGGGAGCAA
rnacentral:rRNA from 1 species